rnacentral:sRNA from 1 species
AUUCUGCCCAUGCGGGGAAGGACGAGAAGCUUCGACCAAGGUUCGACUCGAGCGUCAGCGAGAGAGCGUUGCCGCAGGCAACGACCCGAAGGGCGAAGCGCGCAGCGCUGAGUAAUCCUUCCCCCACCACCA